GAAUCUGCCUGGUGGUGGGGGACAACGUUUCCAAAGGAACGCUAAUACCGCAUACGUCCUACGGGAGAAAGCAGGGGACCUUCGGGCCUUGCGCUAUCAGGAUGAGCCUAGGUCGGAUUAGCUAGUUGGUGGGGUAAUGGCUCACCAAGGCGACGAUCCGUAACUGGUCUGAGAGGAUGAUCAGUCACACUGGAACUGAGACACGGUCCAGACUCCUACGGGAGGCAGCAGUGGGGAAUAUUGGACAAUGGGCGAAAGCCUGAUCCAGCCAUGCCGCGUGUGUGAAGAAGGUCUUCGGAUUGUAAAGCACUUUAAGUUGGGAGGAAGGGCAGUAAGUUAAUACCUUGCUGUUUUGACGUUACCGACAGAAUAAGCACCGGCUAACUCUGUGCCAGCAGCCGCGGUAAUACAGAGGGUGCAAGCGUUAA
rnacentral:rRNA from 1 species